UGGCAAUGCUUUUCCUUUAUGGUACUUGAGUAUCUAUUAAUAUCUUUCAGUUUUCGCUGUUUAAUUUAUUAAAUUCCUUUGAGCAAAGUUCUGACCUUUUUUCUCAUCUCUGCAUUCAUGCGUAACACCUGCUCUAAAUAUUUCUACUUUUUUAUCUGUUGUGUACAGGAGAACCUUGAGAAUGCCAACGUUGGGUCAGAUGAACCCAAGCUGUUCCCUGAUCAUGUUACUACUCAGGAGUACCUUGACAAUGCCACUGUUGUGUCAGACAAAGCCAACCUGUUCCCUGAUCAUGUUACUACUCAGGUGUUUUCUGUCAGAGGAAUUUCACUUGUGGAUUAUUCUGACUCUGAUGAAACCAGUUCAGAUUGUUGGAAAGACCAGCCUAUGACUCUUCAUAUUGAUGAAGUUAAGGAAAAGCUCAACGACACAAGAAAAAUUCCGAUGGAAAGCGUUUCAGACCAUUGGUCUCCUCUGCAUGAUUCCUGUGAAAGUGUAGUGGAGGAAAGUGAAGCCAUUGAAGAAUCCAGUGAUGUCGACUCUUUCAAAGACAAUUACAAGGAUGAGGAUGUUGUUCCCAAACUGAGGACGACCGAAAGCUCUCUGAAAGAAGUACCUGAUUUCCAUAAUAAUAUCUAUGACACAAGUGUUGACAGUGCCCCAGACUCCACUUUUAAGGCUGCACAGAGGCAGAGGCCAAGAAGAGCCUGUCGCCAUCCAGUGAGAUUCAUUUUACAUCAUGUUACGUCAUGUUAAUACUUAGUUUUGGGUAGUGGUAGAAAACACAAUGUUCAGAGUUGGACUUGGAGUGCUAGAUAUUCUGAUUAUACAGGAAUACAUAUGUGGAACUUAUUGUCAUGUUGAUUUUAAGGCUACCUUUAAAGGUAAAAAGCCAAAUAUUUUUGCGUCCAGUAUUGUGGGUAACUAAUUUGUUUUAAUAAUUGUUUUCGUUUAAGAUUCAGAAGAGUCUUCUAGAAUCAGAUGACUCUAGUGGAGACAGUGGUGAAGAGUAUCUUCCAAAUCCCAAAGAUGAAGGAACAGAUAGUGACAGAAGCUCAGAGUUAUCUUUGGAAAGGAAAGAAAUGAACAAAACUACAAGGGCAGCUCCAGGUCGCCCAGCAAGGGCAGCUCCAAAUCAAGCCAGAGCAGCUUCAAGUCUUUCAGCAAGAAUGGCCUAAAAUCAUCAAGACAGGGCAGCUCCAGGUCUUCUUUUCAGAGCAGCUUACAGACAUCCAAGCACAGCAAAGUGAAGUCGUCGAAGCAGAACAGGGUCAUGUUUUCCAGUCAGAGAAGUUUUACGUCUUCCAGAAAAAACAGCUUCAGAUCUUCUAGUAAUAGUCAGUCUGAGCAGUCUGAGGCCAGUCAGAGCCAAUUUGAGUCCAGACACACCCAGUUCAGGUCCACUGAGAACAACAGAGGCUUUGAAAUCAGUCAUGAGUCCUCUCAAAGUGUUGAUGAUGACAAAGGUGAUGUAAAUGAUGAUGUGGUUCAUACUAACAAUGAAGUGAGUAUUUCAGUACCCCUUGAAGAAGUCUUUGUUGAACCUGUUUUGAAGAAAGCGUGUGGAAAAAGAUGUUAUAACAAGAAACAUCACUGCUUGUUUUGCGGGCAAGAAGUUCAGAAAAUGUCACGACACUUGCUGCGUAAACACAAGGAUAAUGUUGAAGUGGCCAAAGCCUUUAUCUUCCCAAAAAAUUCCAAAGAGAGGCGACUACAACUUGAUCAUAUCCGAAAUAAGGGGAACUAUGAGCAUAACAUGGAAGUUAUGGAGAGCCAAAAAGGAAAACUAAUCCCAUCAAAGCAACCAACGGAAAAAACUGUAGGAGCCGAUUUCCUGCAUUGUGUACACUGCUAUGGUUUGUUUAAACGAAAAGCAAUGUGGCGACAUUUUAAGGUCUGCAAAUUCCAACCUGAAUCAUCAAAACCUGGACGAAAAAGAGUCCAAGCUUUAUGUGCAUUCGCUGAAACUACUCAAACAAGAUUUCCCAGUGGAUAUUGGACGCUUCUAAAAGGGAUGAAUCAAGACACAAUUGCAAUGGCUGUCAAGCAAGAUCAUUUCAUCCUUGAGUUUGGUUACAGACUCUUCAAGAAGAAUGGUAAAGCCAAGAGCCAACACCAGUACAUUCAACAAAGACUGAGAGAGCUUGGCAGACUGGCACUGGAAACUAAAAAAAAGUGCACCAGCGAAGACUAUUAAAGAUCUCAUUAAACCGGAAAUGUAUGAUCAUUUGGUCACUGCGGCAAAAUGCAUUGCCGGAUUUAGUGAUGACACUGGAGAAUAUCGAUGUGCAUCUCUUGCUCGGAAACUUGGCCACACCUUGCAUGGCUUUGCCAUGUUUGUUAAAUCUCAAGGAUUGAAGAUGAAGGAAGAAAUUACUGUAAAAAAUGCUGAGGAAUUCAUACAGCUAUACCAAGAUAGCAGGAAAUAUGACAUAGGAAGCCAAGCCCUAACCCAGCUCAACCAGGCCAAAUGGAAUGCACCUCAACUGCUACCGCUAACACAAGAUGUUCAAACCCUUCAUUUUCACUUCUCUGAGAAACAGCAACAUCUUUUGAAUGCCCUAAAAGAAGAGACUUCGUCCUCAAACUGGAAAGACCUUGCUAAAGUGACAUUGGCACAAUUGAUCAUUUUUAACCGCCGGAGAGAAGGAGAGGUGUCAAGGACGCCGCUAUCUGCAUAUUUGUUGCUGGAUGUAUCUGAAACACAUGAAGAUAUUAACUUGGCUCUCACACCACUUGAGCAGAAGCUCUGCAAACAUUUUUCCAGGAUGACCAUAGUUGGAAAGAGAGGAAGAAAAGUUCCUCUUCUGCUCACCCCGAUCAUAAGGGAAUCACUUGAUCUACUGGUUGAAAAGCGAAAGGAGUGUGGGGUGCUGAAUGAAAAUGUGUUUUUAUUUGCAUUGCCUCAAUCUGAAAACAGCCUCAGGGGUUACAGCUGCCUCAAAGAGUUAGUGGAAGAUUGUGAUGGUAUCAACAAUCCCACAGCAUUAACCUCAACGAAACUCAGGAAACACAUUGCAACCAUGUCGACUGUCCUGAAUUUACAAAAUACCGAACUUGACCAGUUAGCAGAUUUCCUUGGGCACAACAUUGAUGUCCACAGAAAGCACUACAGACUCCCAGAAGGCACUCUUCAAAUAGCCAAAAUUAGUAAAAUUCUUAUGGCAUUGGAACAAGGACGGCUAGGAGAAUACAAAGGAAAAAAUCUGAAUGAAAUUCAUAUUGAUGUUAAUGGUAUUACACAUGAAUGGAUUUGAAUGCAACAAAAAUUAUAAUGUUCUGUAUCAGUAAGAGGUUGAUUUCAACAGUUAUACAUUUUAUACCAAGUCGAUAAUACCAGUUUGAUUCAUAUUGUACCAAUUACCUUUUUAGAGACCGUUGACUCACAAGAUUUUCCCCAAGAGAACAGUGAAGGUAUGCUGGAAGGACAGGAGUCACAAGAAGAUGCAACUUUUUUGUCAGAAGGUACCACCACAGUAAAUGCCAGUAAGAUGAGUUACAAUUAUGAGGACAGUUAGGCAUGGAACUUUUCAGUGCGUGCAAUGCAUGCUUUGGUACAAGUUAAUUUCAUUUUUUUGGUAUUUGUGGCAUAGUGGUGCAUCGGUUUCCCCAUGAAACAGUGAGAACAACUUUACACUGUUGGUAGAAGUGAGGUCUACAUAAAGUAUUGCAGUACAUGUGUGUUUUUUCAUAUUUUAAGUCAAUAUGUCUGUCUGAUCCAUUUGUGCCAUUUUUUAUUUGUACCAAACUAUCAGAAGUACAGGGAUCAGAGGAUGAGACUACAUCAACCCUGCUAGAAGGUACCGCCUCUGUGAACUCCAAAAAGAAGAGAUUGGCAAGAAAGAGAGGAAUAUCAGAAGACGAAGCCACACCUCUCACAACAUCCGGCAAAAAGAAAAGCAAGCUGUCAAGAAAGAAAGGUACAAAACCUGCCAUCAGAAGACCAUGGAAGCCAGAGGAGUGUGCAGCAAUUAAGCGGCAAUUGAGAAGGUUUUUAAUAAUGAAUAUGACACCGGGUAAGGCAGAUUGUGAAAAAUGCCUUUCCGAAGAACCCGAGGCACUCAAAAACCGAGACUGGAAGGCUGUAAAAUACUUUGUGAAAAACAGAAGUUAUGAACAGAGAAAUAAAUUGAUGUAAGAAAAAAUAGGAAAGGUUUUUCUCAUCUCUUGGAUUGUUGGAUUGAUGCAAAAGUCAGGUUUUAUUACCAUGCAAAAUGGUAGAAAAGUUCACAAAGGUUCAACCUAUGCCUGCCAUCGGCAUUCAAGCUAUAGCUUAAAAAAUGUUCAGUUGUUGCUGUUUGAUUUCGAUAUUCAUAUUCACGUCAUAAGAACUGAAACUACCGAUGGCAUUUUUUUCACUGUACCAUACCAAGUAAUACUCAAAGAUGAAUAAAAGUGAGAAAUGUGAGUAAACUCUGAUUAUUUAAUUACUCAUGGAUAGAAAUCUGACAAAUGGGAGAGGG